rnacentral:misc_RNA from 1 species
AAGUCGUAACAAGGUUUCCGUAGGUGAACCUGCGGAAGGAUCAUUAAAGAGUAAGGGUCCCCAGGGCCCGACCUCCAACCCCCUUGUCGUUGAAAAGACCACCGUUGCUUUGGCGGCGCGGCCCCGCCGACCGCCAGAGACCACAACCAAAACCCUUUCUUAAACCGUCGUCAGAGUACAAAAAACAAAAUGAAUCAAAACUUUCAACAACGGAUCUCUUGGUUCCG